rnacentral:rRNA from 1 species
GACGAACGCUGGCGGCGUGCUUAACACAUGCAAGUCGAACGGAAAGGCCCUGCUUUUGUGGGGUGCUCGAGUGGCGAACGGGUGAGUAACCCGUGAGUUACCUGCCCUUUACUUUGGGAUAAAUUCCGGAAACUGGGGCUAAUACCGGGUAGGAGCUCCUGCUGCCUGGUGGGGGUUGGAAAAUUUCGGCGGUUGGGGAUGGACUCGCGGCUUAUCAGCUUGUUGGUGGGGUAGUGGCUUACCAAGGCUUUGACGGGUAGCCGGCCUGAGAGGGUGACCGGCCACAUUGGGACUGAGAUACGGCCCAGACUCCUACGGGAGGCAGCAGUGGGGAAUAUUGCACAAUGGGCGGAAGCCUGAUGCAGCAACGCCGCGUGCGGGAUGACGGCCUUCGGGUUGUAAACCGCUUUCGCCUGUGACGAAGCGUGAGUGACGGUAAUGGGUAAAGAAGCACCGGCUAACUACGUG